rnacentral:rRNA from 1 species
GAUGAACGCUGGCGGCGUGCCUAAUACAUGCCAGUCGCGCGAACAGACGAGGAGCUUGCUCCUCUGACGUUAGCGGCGGACGGGUGAGUAACACGUGGAUAACCUACCUAUAAGACUGGGAUAACUUCGGGAAACCGGAGCUAAUACCGGAUAAUAUAUUGAACCGCAUGGUUCAAUAGUGAAAGACGGUUUUGCUGUCACUUAUAGAUGGAUCCGCGCCGCAUUAGCUAGUUGGUAAGGUAACGGCUUACCAAGGCAACGAUGCGUAGCCGACCUGAGAGGGUGAUCGGCCACACUGGAACUGAGACACGGUCCAGACUCCUACGGGAGGCAGCAGUAGGGAAUCUUCCGCAAUGGGCGAAAGCCUGACGGAGCAACGCCGCGUGAGUGAUGAAGGUCUUCGGAUCGUAAAACUCUGUUAUUAGGGAAGAACAAAUGUGUAAGUAACUAUGCACGUCUUGACGGUACCUAAUCAGAAAGCCACGGCUAACUACGUG